GUGGGUAUAACUCAGUGGUGGAGUAUAUAUUUAGCAUGUGUGAGGUCCUGGGUUCAAUUUCCAGUACCUCUA
rnacentral:tRNA from 1 species